rnacentral:rRNA from 1 species
CCUACGGGAGGCAGCAGUGAGGAAUAUUGGUCAAUGGCCGGAAGGCUGAACCAGCCAUGCCGCGUGAAGGUCAGUGCCCUAUGGGCGUUAAACUUCUUUUGUGCGGGAGCAAUAAUGGUCACGUGUGGCCAGACGAGAGUACCGUACGAAUAAGCAUCGGCUAACUCCGUGCCAGCAGCCGCGGUAAUACGGGGGAUGCAAGCGUUAUCCGGCUUUAUUGGGUUUAAAGGGUGCGUAGGCUGUGAGGUAAGUCAGCGGUGAAAUGCCCCCGCUCAACGGGGUGAAUUGCCAUUGAUACUGGCAUGCUGGAAUGCGGAUGCCGUGGGAGGAAUGUGUGGUGUAGCGGUGAAAUGCAUAGAUAUCACACAGAACACCGAUUGCGAAGGCAUCUCACGAAUCCGCGAUUGACGUUGAUGCACGAAAGCGUGGGUAUCAAACAGGAUUAGAUACCCUUGUAGUC